GGCCCUCUGCCCACCUCCGCAGCUGGAGCAGCACGGCCGUGCUGGUGCAGUGCACCGCGACUCUGCGUGCAGUACAGUGGGUGUGUGCCCCCUCAAUUUCUCCUCCCCACAGUAUGAAGUUUGUUUUUGGUUGAUGUUGAAUUCAUCCGCGCUGCAGUAUGCUUGUGGGUGUGAAGCAGUGCGCUCGGUUGCCGCUCCCCCGUGUAGCUCGCUUGCCGCCCCCGUGCAGCUCACCUACGGCGAGCAGUAUGUUUGUGGGUGUGAAGCAGUGCGCUCGGUUGCCACUACCUGUGCAGCUCACCUCCGGCGAGCAGUAUGCUUGUGGGUGUGAAGCAGUGCGCUCGUUUGCUCAAGGGGGAAAGUGCUAGAGGACAAAGAAGGAGCGUGUGGUUGAGAAAAAGUGCCCGAGUGGCAUUUUAUUUUGAGUUUAAAAUUUAUUGGGGGAAGUUGGUCUUUGCAGUACACUAUUUUGAUUUUUUUGCCGUUGAAAAAUCUUCAGUGCCCUGCAGUUUGCUAUGCGAUGGGUUUAGUUAACCCAUUUCUUUUAUAGUUAGAAAAUAAAUUAAAGAAAUCAGCUCAUUUUCCUGAUGCAGGGUUACAUUGUAUCAUGCCCGGAGUCCUACAGGGUCCGACGGCGGUGCGAAGAGUGCAAUACUCUUCGGCUCCUAAUGCGGUUCAGUCGCAACGAUGCUGCAGUGUGGCCGCUCUCUCUGCUGCCAGAUCCAGGACCGUUGCUCGACGUGAGCACCUCGGGCGCAUCACGAGCCGUUCAUUUGGGCGCAACACUGCAGUCCGCAUGGGUCGUCGCUGUGGUGCGGCUGGGUGUGCAGUCCAUCGGUGAGGGUGCUUGCAGUGUCUUGAACAAAUUUGUUAGCAUAGAGACACAAAAAAUGUAGUCCAGUCCAUUUGUGUAGCAGCCCAUUACCACUCUGUAUGAAGUGCAAUUUGUUUCGUGUGUCUGAAAAUUCAGUCGACUACAUGAUCACUUGCAGUGUGUUUGGUCCUAGGAUGUGGUUUACUUUUAAAAGUGAUGUUGUUCACUUGCGCUCAACAUGAAAGUGCGUUUUUUUGUAAAACGAAACAACACGAUAGCAAUGAGGUUCACUUUGCCAUGUGUCGCGGUUCAUUUGCCCCCGUCUCUGCGGUCCACUCCCGUUCAUAAAAAAAAGUUGGAAAAAAAGACAACAAAAACUCGUCUGAGAAAAAUUUACGUCCGAUAAAAGAAAUCAUGAAGUUCACUUGACUGUAUGUUGCAGUGCGGUUUUCAGUUUGAAGCAGUGU
rnacentral:lncRNA from 1 species